rnacentral:rRNA from 1 species
CACUAUCGUUAACUGAAUACAUAGGUUAACGAGGCGAACCGGGGGAACUGAAACAUCUAAGUACCCCGAGGAAAAGAAAUCAACCGAGAUUCCCCCAGUAGCGGCGAGCGAACGGGGAGCAGCCCAGAGUCUGAAUCAGCUUGUGUGUUAGUGGAACGGUCUGGAAAGUCCGACGGUACAGGGUGAUAGUCCCGUACACCAAAAUGCACAGGUUGUGAACUCGAAGAGUAGGGCGGGACACGUGGUAUCCUGUCUGAAUAUGGGGGGACCAUCCUCCAAGGCUAAAUACUCCUGACUGACCGAUAGUGAACCAGUACCGUGAGGGAAAGGCGAAAAGAACCCCGGCGAGGGGAGUGAAAAAGAACCUGAAACCGUGUACGUACAAGCAGUGGGAGCACCUUCGGGUGUGACUGCGUACCUUUUGUAUAAUGGGUCAGCGACUUAUAUUCUGUAGCAAGGUUAACCGUAUAGGGGAGCCGCAGGGAAACCGAGUCUUAACUGGGCGUUAAGUUGCAGGGUAUAGACCCGAAACCCGGUGAUCUAGCCAUGGGCAGGUUGAAGGUUGGGUAACACUAACUGGAGGACCGAACCGACUAAUGUUGAAAAAUUAGCGGAUGACUUGUGGCUGGGGGUGAAAGGCCAAUCAAACCGGGAGAUAGCUGGUUCUCCCCGAAAGCUAUUUAGGUAGCGCCUCGUGAACUCAUCUUCGGGGGUAGAGCACUGUUUCGGCUAGGGGGUCAUCCCGACUUACCAACCCGAUGCAAACUACGAAUACCGAAGAAUGUUAUCACGGGAGACACACGGCGGGUGCUAACGUCCGUCGUGAAGAGGGAAACAACCCAGACCGCCAGCUAAGGUCCCAAAGUCAUGGUUAAGUGGGAAACGAUGUGGGAAGGCACAGACAGCCAGGAUGUUGGCUUAGAAGCAGCCAUCAUUUAAAGAAAGCGUAAUAGCUCACUGGUCGAGUCGGCCUGCGCGGAAGAUGUAACGGGGCUAAACCAUGCACCGAAGCUGCGGCAGCGACACUAUGUGUUGUUGGGUAGGGGAGCGUUCUGUAAGCCUGCGAAGGUGUGCUGUGAGGCAUGCUGGAGGUAUCAGAAGUGCGAAUGCUGACAUAAGUAACGAUAAAGCGGGUGAAAAGCCCGCUCGCCGGAAGACCAAGGGUUCCUGUCCAACGUUAAUCGGGGCAGGGUGAGUCGACCCCUAAGGCGAGGCCGAAAGGCGUAGUCGAUGGGAAACAGGUUAAUAUUCCUGUACUUGGUGUUACUGCGAAGGGGGGACGGAGAAGGCUAUGUUAGCCGGGCGACGGUUGUCCCGGUUUAAGCAUGUAGGCUGGUUAUCCAGGCAAAUCCGGAUAAUCAAGGCUGAGGUGUGAUGACGAGGCACUACGGUGCUGAAGUAACAAAUGCCCUGCUUCCAGGAAAAGCCUCUAAGCAUCAGGUAACAUCAAAUCGUACCCCAAACCGACACAGGUGGUCAGGUAGAGAAUACCAAGGCGCUUGAGAGAACUCGGGUGAAGGAACUAGGCAAAAUGGUGCCGUAACUUCGGGAGAAGGCACGCUGGUGUGUAGGUGAAGUCCCUGCGGAUGGAGCUGAGACCAGUCGAAGAUACCAGCUGGCUGCAACUGUUUAUUAAAAACACAGCACUGUGCAAACACGAAAGUGGACGUAUACGGUGUGACGCCUGCCCGGUGCCGGAAGGUUAAUUGAUGGGGUUAUCCGUAAGGAGAAGCUCUUGAUCGAAGCCCCGGUAAACGGCGGCCGUAACUAUAACGGUCCUAAGGUAGCGAAAUUCCUUGUCGGGUAAGUUCCGACCUGCACGAAUGGCGUAAUGAUGGCCAGGCUGUCUCCACCCGAGACUCAGUGAAAUUGAACUCGCUGUGAAGAUGCAGUGUACCCGCGGCAAGACGGAAAGACCCCGUGAACCUUUACUAUAGCUUGACACUGAACAUUGAGCCUUGAUGUGUAGGAUAGGUGGGAGGCUUUGAAGCGUGGACGCCAGUCUGCGUGGAGCCAACCUUGAAAUACCACCCUUUAAUGUUUGAUGUUCUAACGUUGGCCCCUGACCGGGGUUGCGGACAGUGUCUGGUGGGUAGUUUGACUGGGGCGGUCUCCUCCCAAAGCGUAACGGAGGAGCACGAAGGUUAGCUAAUCCUGGUCGGACAUCAGGAGGUUAGUGCAAUGGCAUAAGCUAGCUUGACUGCGAGCGUGACGGCGCGAGCAGGUGCGAAAGCAGGUCAUAGUGAUCCGGUGGUUCUGAAUGGAAGGGCCAUCGCUCAACGGAUAAAAGGUACUCCGGGGAUAACAGGCUGAUACCGCCCAAGAGUUCAUAUCGACGGCGGUGUUUGGCACCUCGAUGUCGGCUCAUCACAUCCUGGGGCUGAAGUAGGUCCCAAGGGUAUGGCUGUUCGCCAUUUAAAGUGGUACGCGAGCUGGGUUUAGAACGUCGUGAGACAGUUCGGUCCCUAUCUGCCGUGGGCGCUGGAGAAUUGAGGGGGGCUGCUCCUAGUACGAGAGGACCGGAGUGGACGCAUCACUGGUGUUCGGGUUGUCAUGCCAAUGGCACUGCCCGGUAGCUAAAUGCGGAAGAGAUAAGUGCUGAAAGCAUCUAAGCACGAAACUUGCCCCGAGAUGAGUUCUCCCUGAGACUNNNNNNNNNNNNNNNNNNNNNNNGACGUUGAUAGGCCGGGUGUGUAAGCGCAGCGAUGCGUUGAGCUAACCGGUACUAAUGAACCGUGAGGCUUAACCUU